rnacentral:rRNA from 1 species
AUUGAACGCUGGCGGCAGGCUUAACACAUGCAAGUCGAGCGGGGAAAGGUAGCUUGCUACCUGACCUAGCGGCGGACGGGUGAGUAAUGCUUAGGAAUCUGCCUAUUAGUGGGGGACAACAUUCCGAAAGGAAUGCUAAUACCGCAUACGCCCUACGGGGGAAAGCAGGGGAUCUUCGGACCUUGCGCUAAUAGAUGAGCCUAAGUCAGAUUAGCUAGUUGGUGGGGUAAAGGCCUACCAAGGCGACGAUCUGUAGCGGGUCUGAGAGGAUGAUCCGCCACACUGGGACUGGGACACGGCCCAGACUCCUACGGGAGGCAGCAGUGGGGAAUAUUGGACAAUGGGCGAAAGCCUGAUCCAGCCAUGCCGCGUGUGUGAAGAAGGCCUUUUGGUUGUAAAGCACUUUAAGCGAGGAGGAGGCUACUUAGAUUAAUACUCUAGGAUAGUGGACGUUACUCGCAGAAUAAGCACCGGCUAACUCUGUGCCAGCCGCCGCGUAACAC